AGAACGAACGCUGGCGGCAUGCCUAACACAUGCAAGUCGAACGCGUGGAGCAAUCCACGAGUGGCGGACGGGUGAGUAACGCGUGGGAACCUGCCCUGGAGUGUGGGAUAACCGAGGGAAACUUCGGCUAAUACCGCAUACGACCUGAGGGUGAAAGAUUUAUCGCUCUAGGAGGGGCCCGCGUCGGAUUAGCUAGUUGGUGGGGUAAAGGCCUACCAAGGCAGUGAUCCGUAGCUGGUCUGAGAGGAUGAUCAGCCACACUGGGACUGAGACACGGCCCAGACUCCUACGGGAGGCAGCAGUGGGGAAUAUUGGACAAUGGGGGCAACCCUGAUCCAGCAAUGCCGCGUGAGUGAUGAAGGCCUUAGGGUUGUAAAGCUCUUUCGCGCGCGACGAUGAUGACGGUAGCGCGAGAAGAAGCCCCGGCUAACGUUCGUGCCAGCAGCCGC
rnacentral:rRNA from 1 species